rnacentral:rRNA from 1 species
GAUGAACGCUGGCGGCGUGCCUAAUACAUGCAAGUCGAGCGAACAGACGAGGUUCUUGCUCCGCUGUCGUUAGCGGCGGACGGGUGAGUAACACGUGGAUAACCUACCUUUAACACUGGGAUAACUUCUGGAAACCGGAGCUUAUACCGGAUAAUAUAUUGAACCGCAGGGUUCAAUAGUGAAUGACGGUUUUUCUGUCACUUAUUGAUGGUUCCGCGCCGGAUUAUCUAGUUGGUAAGGUAACGGCUUACCAAGGCAACGACGGGUAGCCGACCUGAGAGGGUGAUCGGCGACACUGGAACUGGGACAGGGUCAAGGCUCCUACGGGAGGGAGCAGUAGGGAAUGGUACGCAAGGGGCGAAAGCGUAACGGAGCAGCGGCGAGUGAGUGAUGAAGGUCUUGGGAUCGUAAAGCUAUGUUAUUAGGGAAGAAGAAAAGUGUAAGUAACUAUGCACGUGUUGACGGUACCGAAAGAGAAAGCCCCGGCUAACUACGUG